CCUACGGGGGGCAGCAGUGGGGAAUAUUGGACAAUGGGCGAAAGCCUGAUCCAGCCAUGCCGCGUGUGUGAAGAAGGCCUUCGGGUUGUAAAGCACUUUCAGUGGGGAAGAAAGCCUUGGGGCUAAUACCCUCGAGGAAGGACAUCACCCACAGAAGAAGCACCGGCUAACUCCGUGCCAGCAGCCGCGGUAAUACGGAGGGUGCGAGCGUUAAUCGGAAUUACUGGGCGUAAAGCGCGCGUAGGCGGUCUGAUAAGCCGGUUGUGAAAGCCCCGGGCUCAACCUGGGAACGGCAUCCGGAACUGUCAGGCUAGAGUGCAGCAGAGGAAGGUAGAAUUCCCGGUGUAGCGGUGAAAUGCGUAGAGAUCGGGAGGAAUACCAGUGGCGAAGGCGGCCUUCUGGACUGACACUGACGCUGAGGUGCGAAAGCGUGGGUAGCAAACAGGAUUAGAUACCCCUGUAGUC
rnacentral:rRNA from 1 species